rnacentral:rRNA from 1 species
GCCUAACACAUGCAAGUCGAACGAGCGAGAGAGAGCUUGCUUUCUCGAGCGAGUGGCGAACGGGUGAGUAACGCGUGAGGAACUUGCCUCAAAGAGGGGGACAACAGUUGGAAACGACUGCUAAUACCGCAUAAGCCCACAGCUCGGCAUCGAGCAGAGGGAAAAGGAGCAAUCCGCUUUGAGAUGGCCUCGCGUCCGAUUAGCUAGUUGGUGAGGUAACGGCCCACCAAGGCGACGAUCGGUAGCCGGACUGAGAGGUUGAACGGCCACAUUGGGACUGAGACACGGCCCAGACUCCUACGGGAGGCAGCAGUGGGGAAUAUUGCACAAUGGGGGAAACCCUGAUGCAGCGACGCCGCGUGGAGGAAGAAGGUCUUCGGAUUGUAAACUCCUGUUGUUGAGGAAGAUAAUGACGGUACUCAACAAGGAAGUGACGGCUAACUACGUGCCAGCAGCCGCGGUAAAACGUAGGUCACAAGCGUUGUCCGGAAUUACUGGGUGUAAAGGGAGCGCAGGCGGGAAGACAAGUUGGAAGUGAAAUCUAUGGGCUCAACCCAUGAACUGCUUUCAAAACUGUUUUUCUUGAGUAGUGCAGAGGUAGGCGGAAUUCCCGGUGUAGCGGUGGAAUGCGUAGAUAUCGGGAGGAACACCAGUGGCGAAGGCGGCCUACUGGGCACCAACUGA